AUGGUGGUAUAUACAGGCAUUGUAGGGCGGCCUUCCCUGUCGUUGGGUUGUUCUGAUGUAAUUUUGCAAGUUUUGUUUCUGAAAAGGAGGGUUUGAUUUUUUUUUUUUUUUCUGCAGUGGUCGUAUAUUUAACUUAGUAUCAAGAACUAGCUCACUUCACUGCAGUUUGUCAUCGGGUAAAUUACUAGAUUAGCAGCGCGGCUCUCAUUUCCUAUUUUUUUUUUUUUUUUCGGCUUGUAACCCCUACAAUGUUGGGGACCUGGUGGGAAAGCGGGGUUUUUGGGUAGGGAGCCAAAAUAAGUCUAAAUACCGCCUCUUACCACCAAAAACAAGUAGGGAGCUGCCUGCUGCUAGUGUUAUGAUGACCGCCAUGUUUACUUAUCAUGGUACUUGAAUAUCCACUUGUGUUUAUACUUUACUAUGCUACACUCGUCCAAGGCUAGCAAUUAUUUUCUGCAAUUAGUGUUCAUACCUGUGGCAAUAUUCCCGAUUGUGUUCCAGGAAAUCAUUGUGAGAUGUCGGAAGUUGUACCUAAUUAGCCAUCAAAUGAAUAAUAACCUUAAACUGUUGCACUGCGUUGUCGACAUUUCCAAGAGUUCCCCAGACAGAGGCACCGCCCCGCCAGUCGACAACCUCGGCAUAAUGACGUGUUUUUACUCCCUCAGUGUCCACAUUUCACGAGCUUCAUUUUCGAAUUGUAUCGGUUGAUAUUAAAUAGCGACUUCAUGUUGCACUAAAAGACACUAACAUUUAAAUAAUAAUAACGAUUGAUUCAUUGCGUGUUUUAAGACGAGCGAACUACCAAGAGCCAUCUUACUACCUCUCACCCCAUCACUAGCGCGUUGGAGGGGGAGUUGAUGCCUCUCCCUCCCUCCCUCCCUCCCUCUCUGCUCGAAGACUGUCACGCAGCGGCAAGUAUUCGUUGUGUUGUGAAUAUUGGCGUCAGUGUCACGGGGCGGCGUCGGUGUGGCAGGAAAGCAACACGUGGUGUAGGUGGUAACACGGAGAGCAAGUGGAAGAAACCUUGGGAGACUUCCAUGACUCAGGAACAAUCACACCUCACUGGGAGCCUUGUGACUGAUAGGUGGUUCAGACUGACUGGGAGACAUGACGUCAGUGCCACCACGCAGGGAGUAAAACCAAGAGGAGGAAGAGGAGCAUUCAUGAGACAUCAGCUGGUCAGCAGUCCAUUCAGUUUGUGGCCCUGAUUUGUAAGUGCCAGGAAGACCAUGGUGAAGGCAGCCCACAAACCUUCCGUUGGACAUGAGUGGUGAACGGCAGUGAAAAUAUGGCAGUAUCUGAUUCUUUGCACCAAAACACAGUGUGCUUAUUAACAGAUUUAUUCACUGUUCACUCAUUUGCUCAUCUCUAAAGGAGUGAAGAGUGUGCACUGAAUUUCACAACAGGAAGUGAAGGAUGAAGCAUGAAGGUUUUAGGCCAAAAUGAACAGACAGCAAUCAGGAAUGACACGUCCAGCAAAACCGGCAACACAGCAGUGAGUGUGCGUGCUGACACACACACACACCCAGGCUUCCAAGUUGAUAAUCCAAAAGCCAGCAGAUGACAGCUUCCUUCCAGCACACACUUGUAUCGCCCAACUUGACCUGCCUGAAUACAAGCUGAUACAGUCCAUGCAGCAGGGAGUGCAGCCUCUACAAGUGGUGGAGGGCAUGGACACUUGGAUAUGGAUGACACUGGUUUGGGUGCCAAAUAUUAAUAGUGCACCUACACAAUUACCACACUCGCUCCUCUCACCAGGCUUAACUAUAAUAAUUAAAGGUAAAUAACAUCUGUCAUCUAUUAUCUAUUGUAUUCUAUAUUGCUGUUAAUGUUUCAUGUAUAAUGUCUUUGCUUUCAAAUGCAAGUCAAAAGGGUGAACCCCAUUUAUAGUACUAUUCACGUUUGGCAAAUUUCACUUUUGACAUUGGUUUGGCUACACUAAUUAAACUGCUAACAGUGAGGGACUACUGUAAAUGUAGUAAUAAUAAUAAUAAUAAUAAUAAUAAUAAUAAUAAUAAUAAUAAUAAUAAAAAGUAAUGAUAAAGUGCAAGACAUGUUCAUUAACGCAAUUAUUUUCUCCAACAUGGAGGAGUGAGUGAGGAGGCACAUCUGUCUUUGAUUAGGGAAUGCAAAUGACGAUGUUCCAAGGACGUCACCCUGUCCUGGGCCAUGACAUGAGAGAGAAGAGGAAAAAAGGACUCUCUCUCUCUCUCUCUCUCUCUCUCUCUCUCUCUCUCUCUCUCUCUCUCUCUCUCUCUCUCUCUCUCUCUCUCUCUCU